rnacentral:rRNA from 1 species
GAAUGCUGACAUAAGUAACGAUAAAGCGGGUGAAAAGCCCGCUCGCCGGAAGACCAAGGGUUCCUGUCCAACGUUAAUCGGGGCAGGGUGAGUCGACCCCUAAGGCGAGGCCGAAAGGCGUAGUCGAUGGGAAACAGGUUAAUAUUCCUGUACUUGGUGUUACUGCGAAGGGGGGACGGAGAAGGCUAUGUUAGCCGGGCGCGGUUGUCCCGGUUUAAGCAUGUAGGCUGGUUAUCCAGGCAAAUCCGGAUAAUCAAGGCUGAGGUGUGAUGACGAGGCACUACGGUGCUGAAGUAACAAAUGCCCUGCUUCCAGGAAAAGCCUCUAAGCAUCAGGUAACAUCAAAUCGUACCCAAACCGACACAGGUGGUCAGGUAGAGAAUACCAAGGCGCUUGAGAGAACUCGGGUGAAGGAACUAGGCAAAAUGGUGCCGUAACUUCGGGAGAAGGCACGCUGGUGUGUAGGUGAAG